UAGGGAAUCUUCCGCAAUGGACGCAAGUCUGACGGAGCAACGCCGCGUGAGUGAAGAAGGAUUUCGGUUCGUAAAACUCUGUUGUUAGAGAAGAACAGCGCAUAGAGUAACUGUUAUGCGUGUGACGGUAUCUAACCAGAAAGCCACAGCUAACUACGUGCCAGCAGCCGCGGUAAUACGUAGGUGGCAAGCGUUGUCCGGAUUUAUUGGGCGUAAAGCGAGCGCAGGCGGUCAAUUAAGUCUGAUGUGAAAGCCCCCGGCUCAACCGGGGAGGGUCAUUGGAAACUGGUUGACUUGAGUGCAGAAGAGGAGAGUGAAAUUCCAUGUGUAGCGGUGAAAUGCGUAGAUAUAUGGAGGAACACCAGUGGCGAAGGAGACUCUCUGGUCUGUAACUGGCGCUGAGGCUCGAAAGCGUGGGUAGCAAACAGG
rnacentral:rRNA from 1 species